rnacentral:rRNA from 1 species
UUAAGCGACUAAGCGUACACGGUGGAUGCCCUGGCAGUCAGAGGCGAUGAAGGACGUGCUAAUCUGCGAUAAGCGUCGGUAAGGUGAUAUGAACCGUUAUAACCGGCGAUUUCCGAAUGGGGAAACCCAGUGUGUUUCGACACACUAUCAUUAACUGAAUCCAUAGGUUAAUGAGGCGAACCGGGGGAACUGAAACAUCUAAGUACCCCGAGGAAAAGAAAUCAACCGAGAUUCCCCCAGUAGCGGCGAGCGAACGGGGAGCAGCCCAGAGCCUGAAUCAGUGUGUGUGUUAGUGGAAGCGUCUGGAAAGGCGCGCGAUACAGGGUGACAGCCCCGUACACAAAAAUGCACAUGCUGUGAGCUCGAUGAGUAGGGCGGGACACGUGGUAUCCUGUCUGAAUAUGGGGGGACCAUCCUCCAAGGCUAAAUACUCCUGACUGACCGAUAGUGAACCAGUACCGUGAGGGAAAGGCGAAAAGAACCCCGGCGAGGGGAGUGAAAAAGAACCUGAAACCGUGUACGUACAAGCAGUGGGAGCACGCUUAGGCGUGUGACUGCGUACCUUUUGUAUAAUGGGUCAGCGACUUAUAUUCUGUAGCAAGGUUAACCGAAUAGGGGAGCCGAAGGGAAACCGAGUCUUAACUGGGCGUUAAGUUGCAGGGUAUAGACCCGAAACCCGGUGAUCUAGCCAUGGGCAGGUUGAAGGUUGGGUAACACUAACUGGAGGACCGAACCGACUAAUGUUGAAAAAUUAGCGGAUGACUUGUGGCUGGGGGUGAAAGGCCAAUCAAACCGGGAGAUAGCUGGUUCUCCCCGAAAGCUAUUUAGGUAGCGCCUCGUGAAUUCAUCUCCGGGGGUAGAGCACUGUUUCGGCAAGGGGGUCAUCCCGACUUACCAACCCGAUGCAAACUGCGAAUACCGGAGAAUGUUAUCACGGGAGACACACGGCGGGUGCUAACGUCCGUCGUGAAGAGGGAAACAACCCAGACCGCCAGCUAAGGUCCCAAAGUCAUGGUUAAGUGGGAAACGAUGUGGGAAGGCCCAGACAGCCAGGAUGUUGGCUUAGAAGCAGCCAUCAUUUAAAGAAAGCGUAAUAGCUCACUGGUCGAGUCGGCCUGCGCGGAAGAUGUAACGGGGCUAAACCAUGCACCGAAGCUGCGGCAGCGACGCUUAUGCGUUGUUGGGUAGGGGAGCGUUCUGUAAGCCUGCGAAGGUGUGCUGUGAGGCAUGCUGGAGGUAUCAGAAGUGCGAAUGCUGACAUAAGUAACGAUAAAGCGGGUGAAAAGCCCGCUCGCCGGAAGACCAAGGGUUCCUGUCCAACGUUAAUCGGGGCAGGGUGAGUCGACCCCUAAGGCGAGGCCGAAAGGCGUAGUCGAUGGGAAACAGGUUAAUAUUCCUGUACUUGGUGUUACUGCGAAGGGGGGACGGAGAAGGCUAUGUUGGCCGGGCGACGGUUGUCCCGGUUUAAGCGUGUAGGCUGGUUUUCCAGGCAAAUCCGGAAAAUCAAGGCUGAGGCGUGAUGACGAGGCACUACGGUGCUGAAGCAACAAAUGCCCUGCUUCCAGGAAAAGCCUCUAAGCAUCAGGUAACAUCAAAUCGUACCCCAAACCGACACAGGUGGUCAGGUAGAGAAUACCAAGGCGCUUGAGAGAACUCGGGUGAAGGAACUAGGCAAAAUGGUGCCGUAACUUCGGGAGAAGGCACGCUGAUAUGUAGGUGAAGUCCCUCGCGGAUGGAGCUGAAAUCAGUCGAAGAUACCAGCUGGCUGCAACUGUUUAUUAAAAACACAGCACUGUGCAAACACGAAAGUGGACGUAUACGGUGUGACGCCUGCCCGGUGCCGGAAGGUUAAUUGAUGGGGUUAGCGCAAGCGAAGCUCUUGAUCGAAGCCCCGGUAAACGGCGGCCGUAACUAUAACGGUCCUAAGGUAGCGAAAUUCCUUGUCGGGUAAGUUCCGACCUGCACGAAUGGCGUAAUGAUGGCCAGGCUGUCUCCACCCGAGACUCAGUGAAAUUGAACUCGCUGUGAAGAUGCAGUGUACCCGCGGCAAGACGGAAAGACCCCGUGAACCUUUACUAUAGCUUGACACUGAACAUUGAGCCUUGAUGUGUAGGAUAGGUGGGAGGCUUUGAAGUGUGGACGCCAGUCUGCAUGGAGCCGACCUUGAAAUACCACCCUUUAAUGUUUGAUGUUCUAACGUGGACCCGUGAUCCGGGUUGCGGACAGUGUCUGGUGGGUAGUUUGACUGGGGCGGUCUCCUCCUAAAGAGUAACGGAGGAGCACGAAGGUUGGCUAAUCCUGGUCGGACAUCAGGAGGUUAGUGCAAUGGCAUAAGCCAGCUUGACUGCGAGCGUGACGGCGCGAGCAGGUGCGAAAGCAGGUCAUAGUGAUCCGGUGGUUCUGAAUGGAAGGGCCAUCGCUCAACGGAUAAAAGGUACUCCGGGGAUAACAGGCUGAUACCGCCCAAGAGUUCAUAUCGACGGCGGUGUUUGGCACCUCGAUGUCGGCUCAUCACAUCCUGGGGCUGAAGUAGGUCCCAAGGGUAUGGCUGUUCGCCAUUUAAAGUGGUACGCGAGCUGGGUUUAGAACGUCGUGAGACAGUUCGGUCCCUAUCUGCCGUGGGCGCUGGAGAACUGAGGGGGGCUGCUCCUAGUACGAGAGGACCGGAGUGGACGCAUCACUGGUGUUCGGGUUGUCAUGCCAAUGGCACUGCCCGGUAGCUAAAUGCGGAAGAGAUAAGUGCUGAAAGCAUCUAAGCACGAAACUUGCCCCGAGAUGAGUUCUCCCUGACUCCUUGAGAGUCCUGAAGGAACGUUGAAGACGACGACGUUGAUAGGCCGGGUGUGUAAGCGCAGCGAUGCGUUGAGCUAACCGGUACUAAUGAACCGUGAGGCUUAACCUU